rnacentral:rRNA from 1 species
GAUGAACGCUGGCGGCGUGCUUAAUACAUGCAAGUCGAACGGAGACGUUAUAGCAAUAUGAUGUCUUAGUGGCGAACGGGUGAGUAACGCGUUGGUGACCUGCCCCGAAGAGGGGGAUAACAGCUCGAAAGGGCUGCUAAUACCCCAUGUGGUCGCGAAGGUUAGAGGCUUUGCGAUUAAAGGAGUAAUCCACUUCGGGAGGGGCCUGCGUCCCAUCAGCUAGUUGGUAGGGUAGAAGCCUACCAAGGCGACGACGGGUAGGGGGCCUGAGAGGGUGACCCCCCACACUGGCACUGAAACACGGGCCAGACACCUACGGGUGGCAGCAGUAGGGAAUAUUGCACAAUGGGCGAAAGCCUGAUGCAGCAACGCCGCGUGCGCGAUGAAGGCCUUCGGGUCGUAAAGCGCUUUUCGGGGAGAUGAGGAAGGUACCUGAAAAACAAGCCACGGCUAACUACGUGCCAGCCGCCGCAGUAAAAC